UCAGCAAAGUAGAGAUACCCAAUUGUGAGUCUCUUCCUCUAGAUUUCUCUGAUUUGAUGGCAUAACAACUAAAUCAGCCCUUCUCUGCGAUUGGUAUUAUUUGGACGUAGUCUUGGAGUUUUCUUCUCAAGGAUGCGGUGGGUACGCUGGUUGGGUUCUGGUGAGGAAGUGAAUAAAGGUGGUGCUAUAUGUCUGCCCAGAAUUGAUGCUGUUAGAAGCAGAAAUCGUUUGAGGUUUAUGCGGGGCAGGUUCAUCCGAGGCGGAGUAGGGCGGGGCAAAGUCUUGGCGGAUUUAUGUAGAUCUGCCCCGCACCACCCCAUUUGCCAUCCCUGCUGCUAAAUUUUUGAAAUAUGUUUAUACAAUAUAUAUGGAAGAUCCAUUAUGAUUCACCAGUUCAAUAAUAUAUCGUCUAUCGUGAGAGAUCUGCCUUGUAAUAAAUUAGUAAAUUAUUUAACAUUGGGAGUUUAU